UGCCGGUGAUAAACCGGAGGAAGGUGGGGAUGACGUCAAGUCAUCAUGGCCCUUAUGUCCAGGGCGACACACGUGCUACAAUGGCCGACACAAAGGGCAGCAAUACCGCGAGGUGGAGCGAAUCCCAAAAAGUCGGUCCAAGUUCGGAUUGGAGUCUGCAACUCGACUCCAUGAAGCCGGAAUCGCUAGUAAUCGUAGGUCAGCCAUACUACGGUGAAUACGUUCCCGGGCCUUGUACACACCGCCCGUCAAGCGAUGGAAGCUGGGGGUACCCGAAGCCGGUGGCCUAACCUUCGGGAGGGAGCCGUCGAAGGUAAACUCAGUGACUGGCGCUAAGUCGUAACAAGGUAGCCGUAGGGGAACCUGCGGCUGGAUCACCUCCUUUCUAGGGAG
rnacentral:rRNA from 1 species